UAACCUCUGAGCUAAGCAGGC
rnacentral:tRNA from 37 species